rnacentral:rRNA from 1 species
UGCGCAGGCGGGAAUGUAAGUUGGAUGUGAAAACUGCGGGCUUAACCCGUAGCCUGCAUCCAAAAACUGCGUUUCUUGAGUGAAGUAGAGGCAGGCGGAAUUCCGAGUGUAGCGGUGAAAUGCGUAGAUAUUCGGAGGAACACCAGUGGCGAAGGCGGCCUGCUGGGCUUUAACUGACGCUGAGGCACGAAAGCAUGGGGAGCAAACAGGAUUAGAUACCCUGGUAGUCCAUGCUGUAAACGAUGAUUGCUAGGUGUGGGGGGACUGACCCCUUCCGUGCCGGAGUUAACACAAUAAGCAAUCCACCUGGGGAGUACGAUCGCAAGGUUGAA